AGUGAACGCUGGCGGUAGGCCUAACACAUGCAAGUCGAACGGCAGCACAGUAAGAGCUUGCUCUUACGGGUGGCGAGUGGCGGACGAGUGAGGAAUACAUCGGAAUCUACUUUUUCGUGGGGGAUAACGUAGGGAAACUUACGCUAAUACCGCAUACGACCUACGGGUGAAAGCAGGGGAUCUUCGGACCUUGCGCGAUUGAAUGAGCCGAUGUCGGAUUAGCUAGUUGGCGGGGUAAAGGCCCACCAAGGCGACGAUCCGUAGCUGGUCUGAGAGGAUGAUCAGCCACACUGGAACGGAGACACGGUCCAGACUCCUACGGGAGGCAGCAGUGGGGAAUAUGGGACAAUGGGCGCAAGCCUGAUCCAGCCAUACCGCGUGGGUGAAGAAGGCCUUCGGGUUGUAAAGCCCUUUUGUUGGGAAAGAAAAGCAGCAGGUUAAUACCCCGCUGUUCUGACGGUACCCAAAGAAUAAGCACCGGCUAACUUCGUG
rnacentral:rRNA from 1 species